GUUCCUACGGGGGGCAGCAGUGGGGGAUAUUGCACAAUGGGGGGAACCCUGAUGCAGCGACGCCGCGUGAGUGAAGAAGUAUUUCGGUAUGUAAAGCUCUAUCAGCAGGGAAGAAGAAAGACGGUACCUGAGUAAGAAGCCCCGGCUAACUACGUGCCAGCAGCCGCGGUAAUACGUAGGGGGCAAGCGUUAUCCGGAUUCACUGGGCGUAAAGGGAGCGCAGGCGGCAUGGCAAGUCUGAUGUGAAAACCCGGUGCCCAACCCCGGGAGUGCAUUGGAAACUGCAAGGCUGGAGUGUCGGAGGG
rnacentral:rRNA from 1 species